rnacentral:lncRNA from 1 species
AGAUUGGAUGGUUUGGGUGAGAGCAAAUGAGAACUGAAGUCUUUAGUAAUUUAGUUAGUUUAAAAUUCUCUGAUGCCAAAGAACAUUUGAAUAAUUGUAUUGAACAAGUUUGCAUUCGAUUUGAAGUUGUGACAUCGGUUGAUUGAUUUGGUAUUUAAUUGGUUAUUUAAAAUUUUGAAGUGUUAAAUUUUAGGCCUUACAUGAUCCUAGGGUGCUGCUCUAGGAUUUGUGUGGCCGUGUCAUGUGCCCAACUC